UACGAAGGGGGCUAGCGUUGCUCGGAAUUACUGGGCGUAAAGCGCACGUAGGCGGCUUUCUAAGUCGGGGGUGAAAUCCUGGAGCUCAACUCCAGAACUGCCUUCGAUACUGGAGAGCUUGAGUCCGGGAGAGGUGAGUGGAACUGCGAGUGUAGAGGUGAAAUUCGUAGAUAUUCGCAAGAACACCAGUGGCGAAGGCGGCUCACUGGCCCGGUACUGACGCUCAGGCGCGACAGCGUGGGGAUCAAACAGG
rnacentral:rRNA from 1 species